UGGUAUGUGGUGGCAGGAGCCGGGGUAAGGCGAGGGGUCCGAGGGUGGUUCGGAAUCAUUGGGCGGAAAGAGGAAGUAGGUGGCAUUGUGAGUCAGGGGUGAGAGCCCCGGGCGCAACCCGGGAAGUGAAUUUGAUACUGCGAAGCUUGAGUGCUGGAGAGGUUAGUAGAAUACCUGGUGUAGUGGUGAAAUACGUAGAUAUCAGGUGGAAUACCGGAGGCGAAGGCGGAUAACCAGCCAGACACUGACACUCAGAUCCGAAAGUGUGGGGAUCAAACAGGAUUAGAUACCCGAGUAGUC
rnacentral:rRNA from 1 species